CGUACCGACACGUCCCGUGCCACUUAAGCGCUUCUUCCGCACCAUCGCCGACGGAGUCUGUGGCGAACGUGCUGACGGCAUUGCGUCGAGAGGACAAACUGUUUCCACACACCCUGUGCUGCAACUGCAGAGACUCCUGAUGGGCACCCUCCCGGUACUUCCUGACUUUUCGAUCUUCGAUCUCAUCCGGCGGACGCUCAGUGGGAGACUGUGGCCAUGCUAUCCCUUCGUCCACAACGAGCCAGCUACGGGUUCCUGCCUUUUGCUUGCCUUCUGGGGAAUGCGUCGCGCAGCAAAGCCCAUCAACAUGGUCUGCCCUUCUGUCUUUGUUUGGGGACUCCCUUCUAUGUACCUUCUCAUCACUGCGCUUUCGCCUAUGGCGGAUGAAGAGAGGUUAACGGCCUGCAUCUUACCUUGCCCCGUCAAGCAUGCGACCCGAUUCCGGAUCUACCAGCUGCCCACGGAAUGCUGCGAAACAUUCUCACGUGGGUGUACAUCAGUGUUAUCAUACAGUGCUGUUCUAUGGAUAACCUCAAGGAUCAGAUUAUUACGCCUCUAAAUGUUACGCUGUUCGGCCAUCAUGCAGAAAAUCUAGUUUUUAGUGACUGUUCAAUAUGUAGGACCCAUAUUGUUCAUUAAAUUACAAAAGCGCGACGUUUCUUGCAACGUUUCGACAUGUAACCACCACAUUCGACUUCAGUACAAUUUGUCAACCCAUCUGCAUGUUUUUCUUAACCAUGAUACAUUCAUUCACACAGUGCAAUGCAGUGGCGUAUAGAUGCUCUUUUGCUUUAUUCUGCAUCGAAAGCGGUCAACUUGGUUAAAAUCUUCUAUCAAUUUGUGUUGCAUGAUAGGCUCUCUUCUGUGCGUGUUGUGUUUGCACGUGUUAGUUGCGCAUCUUAUUAUCUUCAAUUUCGCCCAUCCACUACUCAACUUGGUGCUCCUUUGGUUGUCUUGAGGUUAUAUUGUGCACGUGCUCGACACCUUUUCGUUUGUUCAACUUAAAGGGGUUCAGGUGAAGCAUCGUUACGUGCGGGUGACAGAUCUUUAGAGUGGUUGCUUCGGCUAUUCUGCUUAGAGCUUCUGCAGCCUCGUAUAUGGUCUGUCGCUAACACUUGGUUACCUGAUUAUAGUCCGCGAGCUUAACCCAAAUACCCGUUAGUAUUUCUGCUGGUAUUGUCUUUUCAACUCGGCAUGCAGCUUUGCAUGUUGUGGUCUUGCUUCGCCGCGCCAGUAAACAUGCAAGAGCAUCAAUAUGCCAAAAGGAGCAUAAUGCAACUGUAUAUCCCUACUGGAAAUUCCUACAUGUACAGGACCCGCACAUACGAUGUUAUUCGAUACGGGGCAUAUAGGUGUUACGGGUCAUACAGGCGGCACGAGUCAUACAGGUGGUAUAAGUGUAACGAAUGUAUGGGUAUUACAGGUUAUGCAGGCGAUAUGGGUUGGAUUAGCUAUUUGGGUCAAAAUUGACAUGCAGCAAAAGAAUGUAUUAAGAAAGGCAUGCCAGUUCAUGAAGCACACAGUAAAAUAAACACUGUAACGUAGGUAUGCUGCAAUGAUAUCAAAUAAACACGAUCAGGCUAGAGUAAUGGUUUGACGACUCAUUUAUUUAUGUCGUUCAACGUUUCAGCAAUGAAGCGGUUCAUCUUCCUUAGCCUGUCAAUUGCUGCCACUUCAUUUUUACAGAUGCCUUCAGCAAGUACAUUGCUGCGAAACCAAAUGAUCAGGAAUGUGUAGCAAUUAGGGACUUACUGGUUCAUAUAGUUGGUAAAGUUGAUUGUCCCUAAAUUCAGCAAAAUAUACUAAGCAUGAAACACUUA
rnacentral:lncRNA from 1 species